CACGUAGGGCGCGAGCGUUGUCCGGAAUUAUUGGGCGUAAAGAGCUCGUAGGCGGCCUGUUGCGUCCGCUGUGAAAGCCCGGGGCUUAACCCCGGGUCGGCAGUGGAUACGGGCAGGCUAGAGGUAGGUAGGGGAGAAUGGAAUUCCCGGUGUAGCGGUGAAAUGCGCAGAUAUCGGGAGGAACACCGGUGGCGAAGGCGGUUCUCUGGGCCUUACCUGACGCUGAGGAACGAAAGCUAGGGUAGCGAAUGGG
rnacentral:rRNA from 1 species